ensembl:snoRNA SNORD34 Small nucleolar RNA SNORD34
UGGCGUCCGUGAUGUUCCGUGUUACCUACAUUGUUUGACCCUCAUGAGAACAGCAGCGGCUGAGACGCCG